rnacentral:rRNA from 1 species
GGAGUUAGCCGGUGCUUCUUCUGUGAGUGAUGUCCUUCCUGCCGGCUAUUAACCCGCAGGCCUUCUUCCUCACUGAAAGUGCUUUACAACCCGAAGGCCUUCUUCACACACGCGGCAUGGCUGGAUCAGGGUUGCCCCCAUUGUCCAAUAUUCCCCACUGCUGCCUCCCGUAGGAGUCUGGGCCGUGUCUCAGUCCCAGUGUGGCUGAUCAUCCUCUCAGACCAGCUACGGAUCGUCGCCUUGGUGAGCCGUUACCUCACCAACCAGCUAAUCCGACAUAGGCUCAUCCGAUAGCGCGAGGCCCGAAGGUCCCCCGCUUUCCCCCGUAGGGCCGUAUGCGGUAUUAGCCUGGGUUUCCCCAGGUUAUCCCCCACUACCGGGCAGAUUCCUAUGCAUUACUCACCCGUCCGCCGCUCGCCACCAGGGAGCAAGCUCCCCGUGCUGCCGCUCGACUUGCAUGUGUUAGGCCUGCCGCCAGCGUUCAAUCUGAGCCAGAAUCGAACCCUGA